AGCUGGUUCAUCAUCCUCUAUCUCUACAUCCUCAUCUCCAACAUCACCCUUCUUGGGCUUUCUGAAGGAGUCAUUCUUCUCGCUUGUAGUAGGCUGCAAAAAGAACACAUUUUAGUAGUCAUUCCAAUCCGAUAAAAGCAAAGGGCACAAUUUAGAGUAGAUCAAAAGUUCAAGAGAAAAUGCAAUUUUGCAUUACCCCAUCUGCCUCCGCAACGGAUGUAGUAGCAGCAGAAGCUGCAGCACUGGCGGAUGGUGCCCCCAAAUUGUUCAUCAAUGCCUGCCUCUUGGUUUUGCUUACCAUCUUCUUCCAAUUGGUAACAAAACGAUCAAGCUCCCAUAGAGUCUCAGUGUCAAGGGCCUCAAUGUCG
rnacentral:lncRNA from 1 species